rnacentral:rRNA from 1 species
GAUGAACGCUGGCGGCGUGCCUAAUACAUGCAAGUCGAGCGAACGGACGAGAGGCUUGCUUCUCUGAUGUUAGCGGCGGACGGGUGAGUAACACGUGGAUAACCUACCUAUAAGACUGGGAUAACUUCGGGAAACCGGAGCUAAUACCGGAUGAUAUUUUGAACCGCAUGGUUCAAAAGUGAAAGACGGUCUUGCUGUCACUUAUAGAUGGAUCCGCGCUGCAUUAGCUAGUUGGUAAGGUAACGGCUUACCAAGGCAACGAUGCAUAGCCGACCUGAGAGGGUGAUCGGCCACACUGGAACUGAGACACGGUCCAGACUCCUACGGGAGGCAGCAGUAGGGAAUCUUCCACAAUGGGCGAAAGCCUGACGGAGCAACGCCGCGUGAGUGAUGAAGGUCUUCGGAUCGUAAAACUCUGUUAUUAGGGAAGAACAUAUGUGUAAGUAACUGUGCACAUCUUGACGGUACCUAAUCAGAAAGCCACGGAUAACUACGUG